rnacentral:rRNA from 1 species
CAGCCGCCGCGGUAAUACGUAGGUGGCAAGCGUUGUCCGGAUUUAUUGGGCGUAAAGCGAGCGCAGGCGGUUAGAUAAGUCUGAAGUUAAAGGCUGUGGCUUAACCAUAGUACGCUUUGGAAACUGUUUAACUUGAGUGCAAGAGGGGAGAGUGGAAUUCCAUGUGUAGCGGUGAAAUGCGUAGAUAUAUGGAGGAACACCGGUGGCGAAAGCGGCUCUCUGGUCUGUAACUGACGCUGAGGAGCGAAAGCGUGGGGAGCGAACAGGAUUAGAUACCCGUGUAGUCCCUGUCUCUUAUACA